rnacentral:tRNA from 1 species
UCCUAGGUAGUGCAAACAGCACACUCAGCUGCUAACUGAAAGGCUGGAGGUUCGAGUCCACCCAAAGGUU